rnacentral:rRNA from 1 species
GCGCAGCGAGAGGUGCUUGCACCUUUCAAGCGAGUGGCGAACGGGUGAGUAACACGUGGAUAACCUGCCUCAAGGCUGGGGAUAACAUUUGGAAACAGAUGCUAAUACCGAAUAAAACUUAGUAUCGCAUGAUAUCAAGUUAAAAGGCGCUACGGCGUCACCUAGAGAUGGAUCCGCGGUGCAUUAGUUAGUUGGUGGGGUAAAGGCUUACCAAGACGAUGAUGCAUAGCCGAGUUGAGAGACUGAUCGGCCACAUUGGGACUGAGACACGGCCCAAACUCCUACGGGAGGCUGCAGUAGGGAAUCUUCCACAAUGGGCGCAAGCCUGAUGGAGCAACGCCGCGUGUGUGAUGAAGGCUUUCGGGUCGUAAAGCACUGUUGUAUGGGAAGAAAUGCUAAAAUAGGGAAUGAUUUUAGUUUGACGGUACCAUACCAGAAAGGGACGGCUAAAUACGUGCCAGCAGCCGCGGUAAUACGUAUGUCCCGAGCGUUAUCCGGAUUUAUUGGGCGUAAAGCGAGCGCAGACGGUUGAUUAAGUCUGAUGUGAAAGCCCGGAGCUCAACUCCGGAAUGGCAUUGGAAACUGGUUAACUUGAGUGUUGUAGAGGUAAGUGGAACUCCAUGUGUAGCGGUGGAAUGCGUAGAUAUAUGGAAGAACACCAGUGGCGAAGGCGGCUUACUGGACAACAACUGACGUUGAGGCUCGAAAGUGUGGGUAGCAAACAGGAUUAGAUACCCUGGUAGUCCACACCGUAAACGAUGAAUACUAGGUGUUAGGAGGUUUCCGCCUCUUAGUGCCGAAGCUAACGCAUUAAGUAUUCCGCCUGGGGAGUACGACCGCAAGGUUGAAACUCAAAGGAAUUGACGGGGACCCGCACAAGCGGUGGAGCAUGUGGUUUAAUUCGAAGCAACGCGAAGAACCUUACCAGGUCUUGACAUCCUUUGAAGCUUUUAGAGAUAGAAGUGUUCUCUUCGGAGACAAAGUGACAGGUGGUGCAUGGUCGUCGUCAGCUCGUGUCGUGAGAUGUUGGGUUAAGUCCCGCAACGAGCGCAACCCUUAUUGUUAGUUGCCAGCAUUCAGUUGGGCACUCUAGCGAGACUGCCGGUGACAAACCGGAGGAAGGCGGGGACGACGUCAGAUCAUCAUGCCCCUUAUGACCUGGGCUACACACGUGCUACAAUGGCGUAUACAACGAGUUGCCAACCUGCGAAGGUGAGCUAAUCUCUUAAAGUACGUCUCAGUUCGGACUGCAGUCUGCAACUCGACUGCACGAAGUCGGAAUCGCUAGUAAUCGCGGAUCAGCACGCCGCGGUGAAUACGUUCCCGGGUCUUGUACACACCGCCCGUCACACCAUGGGAGUUUGUAAUGCCCAAAGCCGGUGGCCUAA